UCCCUUGUGGCUCAGUUGGUAGAGCAUGGUGUUUGCAAUGCCAGGGUUGUGGGUUUGAUUCCCACGGGGGAC
rnacentral:tRNA from 1 species